rnacentral:rRNA from 1 species
CCGGCACGGGUGAGUAACACGUAUGCAAUCCACCUGUAACAGGGGGAUAACCCGGAGAAAUCCGGACUAAUACCCCAUAAUAUGGGCGCUCCGCAUGGAGAGCCCAUUAAAGAGAGCAAUUUUGGUUACAGACGAGCAUGCGCUCCAUUAGCCAGUUGGCGGGGUAACGGCCCGCCAAAGCGACGAUGGAUAGGGGUUCUGAGAGGAAGGUCCCCCACAUUGGAACUGAGACACGGUCCAA